UGUAGACAGAUCUGGCAUUUAAACAAAAGCAGAAGGAGGAGCAAAAGAAACUUGAGGAGAUGAAGGCAAAGGCUGCUGGAAAAGGGCCCUUGGCCAGUGGGGGAAUAAAGAAGUCUGGCAAAAAGUAGUUUGAUCAAACUGCAGAGUAAGAAGUGAUUGAGUUACUCAAUGGAUCUGCAGACUUCAGAGUCAUGAAAACUCGCUGUCAUUUGGGAAACAUUGUACAUUUUGUUUAGUCAGAAUAAAUCUUUUUUGUUAAGAUGUGAUCUUUUCUCUUCACCUGUAGGUUUUGUUUAAAAAUAGCUUUACUGUUUUAUACUGGAAAUGAAACUUUUCCUGAAGACCACAUGUGUGUGCCCUUGGGCAGCCUGAGUGCAAUUGCUGGUUGGUCCUCACUUGUGAGAAUAAAUUUCAACUUUGCUCUCUUUUGA